rnacentral:rRNA from 1 species
GACGAACGCUGGCGGCGUGCCUAAUACAUGCAAGUAGAACGCACAGUUUAUACCGUAGCUUGCUACACCAUAGACUGUGAGUUGCGAACGGGUGAGUAACGCGUAGGUAACCUGCCUGGUAGCGGGGGAUAACUAUUGGAAACGAUAGCUAGUACCGCAUAAUAUUAAUUAUUGCAUGAUAAUUAAUUGAAAGGUGCAAUUGCACCACUACCAGAUGGACCUGCGUUGUAUUAGCUAGUAGGUGAGGUAACGGCUCACCUAGGCGACGAUACAUAGCCGACCUGAGAGGGUGAUCGGCCACACUGGGACUGAGACACGGCCCAGACUCCUACGGGAGGCAGCAGUAGGGAAUCUUCGGCAAUGGACGAAAGUCUGACCGAGCAACGCCGCGUGAGUGAAGAAGGUUUUCGGAUCGUAAAGCUCUGUUGUAAGAGAAGAACGGGGGUGAGAGUGGAAAGUUCACACUGUGACGGUAUCUUACCAGAAAGGGACGGCUAACUACGUG